ACGCUCGACACCUACGGGGGGCAGCAGUGGGGAAUAUUGCACAAUGGGGGAAACCCGUGAUGCAGCGACGCCGCGUGGAGGAAGAAGGUCUUCGGAUUGUAAACUCCUGUUGUUGGGGAAAAAGAGGAUGGCACCCAACAAGGAAGUGACGGCUAACUACGUGCCAACAGCCGCGGUAAUCUGAGCGGGCUGGCAAGGC
rnacentral:rRNA from 1 species